CUAGCUUCAGCGAUGGAUCGGUCGAUUCGCGUAUCGAUGAAAAACGCAGCUAGCUGCGUUAUUUACCACGAAUUGCAGACGCUUAGAGUGGUGAAAUUU
rnacentral:rRNA from 1 species